UUCAUAUGCUGAAGACUUGAUCUCCAUUGUGACUGUAUUUGGAGAUAGAGCUUUUAAGGAGAUGCCAUGUGAGUGUAUCUCCUGGGGACACAUGGGAGAAGGGCUUUCAUGGGGGAAAGAGAAGUCGGUCUGGGGCCCUAAGAGGAAAUAUUACAGCGCCCCCUUCUAUCCACCAGCUCCAAGACAAAUGUUUUUUAAAAAAGUGGUUAGCUGAACCUACUGUGGUAACUAUUUCAUAAUAUAUGUAAGUCAAACU